ACUCCUGAUUAAUCACUUUUGCGUUUCGGAAGCACAUCCAAGGAGGUUGUAAAAACCGUGUUUGUUUUUGCCGUUGCCAAACCUUGUUGAAGCGGCUCUCCGGAGGCUGCCCAUGAUGUGCUCAAGAUGCUGGGAGAGGCGAGCUGAUCCGUCCAGGUGCGUGUGCCAGCUCCACGCUUCUGGAAGCUUCUCCAGACAGACAUUUCUGCUUCUCUCGUCUCUGCCAUUUGAGGGAAUAUAUCCUCAAAUCCAGGCUGGUGCUCUCAACAUCAGACGUGACAUCAGAAGCCACUGACCUCCUCUGCUUUUCUGUUUUCUAAGAUUCCCUUCCGGUUCUGCAGAAGCCAGCGAAAAAUGUCUACCUCCGGCUGUGACAGGACACCUGUGUUUAGAAACAUUAUCAAAUGAAGCCACCCCGACCAGGCUGAUCCUCGAGGUGUGGCCAGAUCAUCUCUCUCUGGCUCCUGGGGCCGGUUUCAUUCAUCACUGGCUGAGAACUCCAAAUACACACACACAGAGACAGACACACACAGACAGGCACACACAGACACACACAGACAGACACACACACAGACACACACACACAG